rnacentral:rRNA from 1 species
CUACGGGGCGCAGCAGGCGCGAAAACUUUACAAUGCAGGAAACUGUGAUAAGGGAACCUCGAGUGCCCGUAAACACGGGCUGUCCAGGUGUCUAAAAAGCAUCUGAAGAAAGGGCCGGGCAAGACCGGUGCCAGCCGCCGCGGUAAUACCGGCGGCUCGAGUGGUGGCCGCUAUUAUUGGGCUUAAAGCGUCCGUAGCUGGAUUGUUAAGUCUCUUGGGAAAUCCGACGGCUCAACCGUCGAGCGUCUAAGGGAUACUGGCAAUCUUGGGAUAGGAAGAGGUGAGAGGUACUCCGGGGGUAGAAGUGAAAUUCUGUAAUCCUCGGGGGACCACCUGUGGCGAAGGCGUCUCACUAGGACUACUCCGACAGUGAGGGACGAAAGCUGGGGGAGCAAACCGGAUUAGAUACCCCCGUAGUC